UGCAGUCGACGCGCGGAUCAGGAGCUUGCUCCUGUGACGCGAGUGGCGGACGGGUGAGUAACACGUAGGCAACCUGCCCAUCAGACCGGGAUAACCACGGGAAACCGUGGCUAAUACCGGAUAACCCUUUUCUUCACAGGAAGGAAAGUUGAAAGGCGGCUUCGGCUGUCACUGAUGGAUGGGCCUGCGGCGCAUUAGCUAGUUGGUGGGGUAAGGGCCCACCAAGGCGACAAUGCGUAGCCGACCUGAGAGGGUGAUCGGCCACACUGGGACUGAGACACGGCCCAAACUCCUACGGGAGGCAGCAGUAGGGAAUCUUCCGCAAUGGACGCAAGUCUGACGGAGCAACGCCGCGUGAGUGAAGAAGGGUUUCGGCUCGUAAAACUCUGUUGUCAGGGAAGAACGUCCCCGUGAGUAACUGCACGGGGAGUGACGGUACCUGACCAGAAAGCCACGGCUAACUACGUGCCAGCAGCCGCGGUAAUACGUAGGUGGCAAGCGUUAUCCGGAAUUAUUGGGCGUAAAGCGCGCGUAGGCGGUCUGUUAAGUCUGAUGUGAAAGCCCCCGGCUCAACCGGGGAGGGUCAUUGGAAACUGGCAGACUUGAGUGCAGAAGAGGAGAGUGGAAUUCCAUGUGUAGCGGUGAAAUGCGCAGAGAUAUGGAGGAACACCAGUGGCG
rnacentral:rRNA from 1 species